rnacentral:piRNA from 1 species
UGUAGUAUUGUAAAUUCAUAA